rnacentral:lncRNA from 1 species
CCUCAAGGUUCAUCCAUGUUAUUGUAUGUAACAGGAUCCACCAUCCUGAUCCCCUGCUUUCUAAAAAAAAAUAGGUACUGGGGACUGAAACAGGCUGCGCAGCAGCACUUUACUACUGAGCUACGCCCCAUUUCUUUUUGUUGAUUUUGAGACAGGGUCUUGUUAAGUUGCCCAGGCUAAACUUGAGCUUGUGAUCCUCCUGCCUCAGCCUUCCAAGUAGCUGGGAUUACAGGUGUAUGACAGCAUUUCCUUCCUUUUUUAAUUAAGGCUGAAUAUUAUUUCAUUGUAUGUAUAUAUCACAUUUUGUUCACCCAUCCAUCUGUCAGUGGAAAUUUGAGUUGCUUCCAUAUCCUGGCUAAUGUGAAUAACGCAGCUAUGAAUAUUUCUUUGAGAUUUUGCUUUCAGUUCUCUUGUAUAUAUGCCUUCUAGCUGAAUCCUCAUCUAGUAGGUAUAAUACCCUCCCCCUCUCUCUCUCUCAGUGACACAAAUCCCAUUCAUGAGGACUCUGCCUUCAUGACAUAAUUACCUCCCAAAGACUCCUUAGGGUUUCAACAUAUGAAUUUUGUUGUGAUACAAAUGUUCAGUCCCUAGUGAGUAGAAUUGCUGGAUCAUAUAGUAAUUCCAUUUUUAAUUUUUGAGGAAGCUCCAUACUGCUUUCGUAGUGGCAAUGCUAUUUUACAUUUCACCAAGAGUGUACAGGGCUUCUGGUUUCUCUCCAUCUAUAUCAAUGGGUUACUUUUCCUUUUCCUUUUUUUUUUUUUUUUGUAGCAGCCAUCUUAAUGGGUAUGAUGUGAUAUCUCAUUCUGGUAUUGAUUUGUGUUUCUCUUAUAAUUAAUCACAUUCAGCAUCUUUUCAUAUUUUUUUGGUUUUCUGGCCAUUUAGGUAUUAUCUUUGGAGAAGUGUCUAUUCAAACCUUUGCACAUUUUUAUAUUGGGUUAUUUGUUUUUGUUGUUGUUGAGUUGUAGUCCUAUAUAUUCUGGGUGUUAACUUAGAUAUAUUAUUUGCAAGUAUUUUCUCCCAUUCCAUACAUCGUGUUUUUUACUCUGUUAAUUGUAUCCUUUGCAUAGAAGUCAGAAGUUUUUAAGUGUAAUAUAAUUCCAUUUGUUUGUUUCUUGUUUUGUUGCAUGUGCUUUUGGUGUCAUGUCCAAGAAGAAUCAUUGCCAAAUCCAGUGUCAUGAAAAAUUUCCCCCAUUUUCUUCUAAGAGUUUUAUAAAUUUAGGUAUGUCAUUUUUUAACUUUUCUUUGUUUACUUUUGCAGUACUAGGGAUUGAGCCCAGUGGUGCACUACCAGUGAGUUAUAUCCCCAGCCCACUUUUUAUUUUUGAGACUGUGGGUCUCAUUAAAUUGCCUUAAACCUGAAAUCCUCCUUCCUCAGCCUGCAGAGUAGAUGGGAUUACAGAUGUGGCCACCAUACCCGGCUCCUCUUUCAUUUCUAAUUUUAGUUAUUCGAAUCUCUUUCCCUUUUUAUCUAGUUAAAGGUUUGCUAAUUUUGUUCAUCUUUUCAAAAAUUCAAUUCUUAGUUUGGUUGAUUUUUUUUUCCCUAUUGUUUUUCUGCUCUCCAUUUCAUUUGUCUCUGCCCUAAUCUUCCUUUCCUUCUGCUAGUUUUGAGUUUAGUUUCUCCUUUCUCUAGUUCCUUGAGGUAUAGAGAGGUGAGAUUGUUGACUUGAGAUCUUUUUUAAUGUAAGGUUUUGCUACUACUAGCUUCUCUCUUAGCACUGCAUUUGCGGCAUCCGUUUUGAUUUGGCAAAUUUUCUUUUCUUUGGAGAUAUGUCCUAAUUUCCCUUGUGAUUUAUUUUUUGACUAACAGUAUGUUAUUUAAUUUCUACAUAUUUGUGGAUUUUCCAGUUUUCCUUUUGCAAUUGAUUUCUGGUUUCACUCCAUUGUGAUCGGAAAACAUUCUUUGCAUCAUUUCAGUCUUUUAAAACUUAAGAUUUGAGGCCUAUUUUAGCCAGACAUGGUGGCACAUGCCUGCAAUCCCACUGACUCAGUAGACUGAGGUAGGAGGUUUCACAAGUUUUUGAGGCCAGCCUCAGCAACUUAGCAAGACCCUGUGUCAAAAUAAAAUAAAAAGUUCUGGGGAUGUAAUUCAGUGGUAAAAGGUCCCUGGAUCCAAUCUCCAAACCCCAACCUGCUUAAAAAAAAAAAAAAAGAAUAUGGCCUAUUUUAUUCAAUCCUAGAGAAUGUUGCAUGUACACUAGACAGGAAUGUGUAUCUGUCUGUCAUUGGAUGGAGUAUUCUGUUUACAGCUUUUACAGUGCAGCUGGUCUAUAGUGUUAUUCUAGUUCUCUCUUUCCUUUGAACUUCUGUCUGGUUGUUCUAUCCAUUAUUGAAAGUGAGGUAUUAAAGUCUCCUUCUGAGGACUCCAAGAUGGCAGCGAAUAGAGUGCAUCGCACCCCGUGUACCGCGUCACUGGGCGGGUGAAUAACGAGUUAGAGCGACAAAGGGCUAUCUUGUUAGGAAUUUACAGCAAAAUAGGGAUGCACCGAAACCUAGAGGAAGGAUUUCCAGCACCGAGGACCGGUUAUUGAAUCUCUAACAUGAGCCAACUGUGCGACCAGAGUUCCAGGCUGACUGAUCCGCAGCCCGUCGCGCGGCCCGCCCCGUGGCUACAGAAAUGGGGCGCCGCCGAGAAGCGACCAGCAAGCAGAGAGAAACAGUGCUAUGGAUUCUGUGGAAUCCUGCCGGCUGUGCCCUCACUGAGCUUCGGGCUGAGUUCGGGAUUUGAGACGGGGAAGGAAGCGGUCCAGUUCUAUCUCCCACAACGGAAAGUACACCAAGGAAGCCAGCGGCCACCAUCUUGGAGAGCUGACGUCAUCACUGCCAGUCUCCAACAGAUAGCAACAAUAAAACAGGUGUGUGUUACUCAGCCCAUCUCCCAUACAGCGGGGAAUUCACAUAAAAUCUCUCUCAGGCUUCCCGGGGGAGGGAUUAUCAGAACGAGCCUGCACAGAGACGCGGGGAAAGGUAGAGACACCUGACCUUCAACUCCCCCUCCCAUCAGCAGCGAAAACGAAACCUGUCUAGCCAGCAGCGCUGGGGGAGGGGCAAGCGGAAAAAAUCAAAACAAUAGGGUGCCGGGGUUCCCAAUAGCCACCCUCCACACCCAGCAAACUGCAGGCCCAGAGGACAGUUUGAACUGCCGAGAGGCAUCACACAGGGAAAGGCCAGGCUAGCAGGAGAAGCCA